rnacentral:lncRNA from 1 species
GGGCCUGGGCACCAGAGGCCACGACAGGCGGCCACCGCCCCAGGCCACUGAGGACCCUGAACCUGGAGGUCAGAGUCAGGACGUGAGGGUCAGGGAACACGCACUUGCAUCCCCGCCCCCUGUUCACGGCCGUGUGGCCUGGAGCCCCGUCACCAGCUCCCUCCCUGGACGGGGGACAGGCCUCACGCAGGGAUCACUGUGCAUCUGGGCUCCUUGAUCCGAAGCACCCAGACCCGGGCGCGCCCUCAGUGGCGCAUCGCUCUCCUGGGGAAAACAGGCAAAAAUAAACAGACUGAAAAGGAAGUAGGCGCAAACCCAGUGCGGGGCGGCGGGAGGUGAUGAAUCUCGCCUCUCCCGGUCUGGAGUUAAUGAGGAGCCUGAGUCAGGAGGCAGAUGGGACCGACCCAUCCGCUGUGCUGCUGGAAAUGAGAAGCUGCUGGAGACGUUCUGACUCAGAACCAGAUGGCCCCUGCUCCAUCCCCUGCAUUCAAGAUGGAAGUGAAGGACCUUGAGAUGAGACGCCCUGGAUGCAGGUGAGACUCAGCACCAGUGAUAAGUGUCCUUGUGGAAAGAGGGAAGGCCCCAUGAAAGCAGAGUCAGGGACGGCAGCUACAGGCGGCUCUGAGCCCCCGUUCCCAGCGGUUUGUUGCAGCAGCUUCGGAUGCUCCGUGGAUACCAAGGCACGCGAGGGAAGCAAACCUACCAGCACAGUCGAACUUGCCUCGGCGCCAACACAGCUUAACCUUCAGGGCCCCUCACUUGCGAAGACCCCCUUCUGCAGCCCAGUUCCUGUUUGCGUAUUCCUUUUGUCAAAGGGGCCCCCUCCGCAGAUGGGGAAAGUAUUGGGUCCCACACACUCUGGCUCCCUCCCUGUUGCCACCAGGGUACAGCACACAGCCUGCAGUAUAGACGCUUCCGUGGGUUUUCUGUCAUCUGAACAUCCACCCAGCCAGUCCUCCGUGUCUUCAGCCAAGCUGGAUUAUCGAGUCCCUGCUGUCUCGGGAUGUAACUUGGAAAGAGAACCAGAGACAAUUUGGAGGCAAAGUAAAUGGGCUGCAGCAAGAUGCGCAUGAAGAAAGAGAGAGGCUGAAAGGGGAACCUGAGCAGAGAGUGGUUGUUCUACCUGGAAAUCAUGACAGCCCCACCAAGGAGAUAACCUCCAGUCUGGGCUUUUAAGGAUGGGUAGGAGUUCGCCAGGAGACAAGGGGGAGGACAGCUUAGGUCGGGGGCACUGUGCGGGCAAAGGUGUGGGACAGCCCCUGGCCCUGGGGCAGCAGUGUGCGACAGCCUGCCUGGCCCAUGGGGCCUGCAGGAUGAAGAGAGAGGGAAGGGCCGGGGCUGGGCCUGGAGUCCUGGGGCAGGGAGAAGUAACAGGUGUGAGGUCCGCAAACGUGGCAGCUUAAAAUGAGAAGAAUCUCCUUCCUCUGAAGGCUGGGGCAGGGGGUGGGGGUGAGGUGUUUCCAGGCCCCUUCCAGCUGCUGGCUGUUGUGGCAGUUCCAUUGUCCAGCCCCUUGCAGCUGCACCCUCCAGUCUCUGCCUCCCUCAUUACAGGACCUUCUCCCUGUGUCUCUCUGGGUCCCUUCGCCUUUUUUUUUUUUCCAGCUGCACCCACAUCAGGCAGAAGUUCCCAAGCCAGGGGUCGAAUGCGCUCCACAUCUGUAAGUAACCAGAGCCACUGCAGUGACAACGCCAGAUCCUUAACCCACUGAGCCACCAGGGAACUCCCCUUCUCCUCUUCUUAUGAGGACACCAGCCAUAGUAGAGACGUUACUAAUCAGGUAAUUCAAUUACAUCUGCAAGGACACCAGAGUAUUUCCAAGUAAGGUCACGUACACAGGGGCCUGGGCUCAGGGCUUCAAUGACCUUUCUGGGGACACAGUUCAACCCACAACAGGGAGGAGGAACCACAGGACUUGGUACUGAUUAGAUGGACCUUAUGGCCUGAAUGGUCUACACGGCCUCCCUCCCACGGCACAUGUUGAAAUCCUGAUAGCCUUGUGACCGCGUCGGAGACAGGGCCUUUAGGAGGUGAGGACCGCGGCUGUCUGCAAGCCAGGAAGAGAGCUCUCAGCAGAAACCUCGUGCUGCCAAAACCUUGAUGUUCCAGCCUCCAGAACCGUGAGAAGAAAGUUUCUAUCCUUAAGCCCCCAGUGUGCGGCAUUUUAUCACGGCAGGCUGAGCUAAGACAAUGGGGUUGGGGCUGGAUGAGCAAGCAGCAGAGCGGAACUGAGGAGGAAUUCCCCAGGCUCGGAGGAAGCUCUGACCCACAGGUGCUGGGUCCCGAUGGCCCGGCCAGGAGCUGAGGUUUUAGGGAGGAACUGGACUCGGCCCAAGGCUUCCAGGAGCUGCAGGUCAGGCAGGGAGUCAGGAAGGGGCCCAGGCCUGCCAGGUACAAUGAUGCAGGUGGUGGCUCAGGGACAAGGGGCCAGGACAAUCGAAGCGGCCCCAAGGGGCAGGGAGGCCCCAGGAAGGGGCCAUCAGAACAGUCAAGAACCCGGUCGUUGGCACUUCCUCCGGCCUAACUACUCAGCGUUGUCUCUGCAGCAGCUCUGGAUCAGUCCCUGGCCUUGGAACUUCCACAUGUCGAGGGUGCAGCCAAACACUUUAAAGAAAGAACUCUUGCCUGCUCUGACUGAUGGCUCCCAGGCCAGGGAUCAGAUACGAGCUGCAGCUGCAACCUGCGCUGCAGCUGCAGCAACGCUGGAUCCUUCAACCCACCAUUCAUUCUUAUGCCGCUUAAAUGUCACCUCCACUACGUGCAGAAGCUCGAUGGACUUGAGCACGUAGAUCGGGCAACAUUUGGGGGGUUUGGCCUCACAGAUGGUCGGCUCUCUGGGUUGGCAAGUUCCUGCCUGGCUUCCUUUGCUGUUGUCACGGAGUUGCCGUUGCCAUGGCGUCUGUGUGUGCACAGGGGACCAUCACGCAUCUCCUCAGCUUCGGGAGCACGCAUCCAGAGCCUGGGAAGACUGCGGAGAGAGAAGAAGGAGGCGUGGCGCGUGGGAGGGAGUCCACCUGGGCGCCUCGUGUUGACGGAGCCGAGAAAAGAGGGGUGGUACUGUGCCGCCCCUGAACCAGAAGGGAGGGAUGGAGGCAGAGGUGCCUGCAGGGCCUGCCGGGCCCUCAGCUGUAGAGGCCCAGGGAGGGGGGGUCAACCGAGGGUCUUCUAUCUGGCCUUCUGCUGCCCCUCCUUCGCAACCACUUCCUGCCACUGUCCCAAAGUCACAGCAAAUGCAGCCCAGGAGUGAAAUACUGCCGAUUUAAUCUGUGCCUCUGAUAAAUAAAUGAACAAGUGU